AACGAACGCUGGCGGCAUGCCUAACACAUGCAAGUCGAACGAGACCUUCGGGUCUAGUGGCGCACGGGUGCGUAACGCGUGGGAACCUGCCCUUAGGUUCGGAAUAACUCCCCGAAAGGGGUGCUAAUACCGGAUAAUGUCUUCGGACCAAAGAUUUAUCGCCUUUGGAUGGGCCCGCGUUGGAUUAGCUAGUUGGUAGGGUAAAAGCCUACCAAGGCGACGAUCCAUAGCUGGUCUGAGAGGAUGAUCAGCCACACUGGGACUGAGACACGGCCCAGACUCCUACGGGAGGCAGCAGUGGGGAAUAUUGGUCAAUGGGCGAAAGCCUGAUCCAGCAAUGCCGCGUGAGUGAUGAAGGCCUUAGGGUUGUAAAGCUCUUUUACCCGGGAUGAUAAUGACAGUACCGGGAGAAUAAGCUCCGGCUAACUCCGU
rnacentral:rRNA from 1 species